UGAGGAACAUGACCUUCGGCGGGGGAUAGCCGGCCCAACGGCCGGGUAAUACCGCGUACGACCACAUGGGGACAUCCCUGAGUGGUGAAAGCAGCAAUGCGCCGAUGGAGUGCCUCGCGGCCUAUCAGCUAGUUGGUGAGGUAACGGCUCACCAAGGCGACGACGGGUAGCUGGUCUGAGAGGAUGGCCAGCCCACAUUGGGACUGAGACACGGUCCAGACCUCUACGGGAGG
rnacentral:rRNA from 1 species